rnacentral:rRNA from 1 species
GAUGAACGCUGGCGGCGUGCCUAAUACAUGCAAGUCGAACGCUGGAAAUCUAGCUUGCUAGAUUGAAGGAGUGGCGAACGGGUGAGUAAUACAUAAGCAACCUACCCACGAAGACUGGGAUAAUCUCUGGAAAUGGGGACUAAUACCGGAUAGGUAAUCGGAAGGCAUCUUCUGAUUAUUAAAGGUUAAAAACACUGGUGGAUGGGCUUAUGGCGCAUUAGUUAGUUGGUGAGGUAACGGCCCACCAAGACGAUGAUGCGUAGCCGGCCUGAGAGGGUGAACGGCCACAUUGGGACUGAGACACGGCCCAGACUCCUACGGGAGGCAGCAGUAGGGAAUUUUCGGCAAUGGGGGAAACCCUGACCGAGCAACGCCGCGUGAGUGAUGACGGCCUUCGGGUUGUAAAGCUCUGUUGUAAGGGAAGAACGGUAGAUAGAGAAUAUCUAAAUGACGGUACCUUACCAGAAAGCCGCGGCUAACUACGUG